AGAACCGCCUGUCUUCGCCUCGCAAUCCUUGGUGUCACUUGAACUGCUCAUGUGACAGCACUCUAAUAUGAGAGGAGACAAUAGGCAUUGUUGGCCUCACAUAUUAAUAAAUAAGAGCCACAGUGUGUGCAAACAAAGGCUGCUUCCUGGAACACUGUGUCACAUGAUUCCCAGGGUCAAUCCUGAUGGCUUUGCUCCGCUGAGAUCAAUGGGCUCCAUUCUCCUGGCAUUAAUUUUACACCGCUGCGGAGACGUUGCGGAAUACUGAAUAACAUGGGUUUCCAUCAUCUGCUUUGUCUCCAGCCUCUAAUGGACCUGAGAAGACUGUUCAAGUUCCGAGAAAUUCUGUUGCUCUUGAGAGCCUCAGAAUACAGAAAAUACAUCCUAGAAGCCAAAUGGCAGGAUCCCACCUCAAAUAAAGGCCUGGAUUCCCAAAAUAAACAGAGAGAAUUCCUGUCAGAUGGAGGCAGAGCAAGGUGUGUGAAACCUGUGACUUGUUCAAAUAUAUCAGCACUGCUGUGGAUUGUCCUGGCUGAAACAAAC
rnacentral:lncRNA from 1 species